AGAAGUUGAAGCCGCAAGAAUCGUGACGGGCGUGAGGAGUCGUACAUUUUAUAAACAAACGGAGACGACGUUUCAAGUGCCAACUUGUUAUGCGCAGCAGCGGCCAGGAACAGCGCUCCGUGGUGAUGCUACAUCGAUUCGUGCGCACCAAGGUCACCAGCAGCCGCUCAAGACCACCAAGCCCCUCUAAGGAACACCUGGUGCCUAGCACCCAUUUGCCCAAGCCAUUUUAUCUGGCACGGACAAGACAUGCAUCCAAUGCUUAUAGCAUAGCCCUGCCACAUCUUGCUUACAGGACCAGAAGGGGAAACAUGCCUCCCGCAGCCUCAAAGAGCGAGAGAUCGAAGUCUUUCUGACUGACGUGUUCGGUUGGGUGUCUCUUGACAACACAUCGAUCGUCAUCGUGAGGGACUUUAACGUUGACAUCAACAGACCUGAUGGAUGGUGGAUCUCAUCAUUCAUGGUGGAACCUUUCGGCUUAAAGUGUUGCAAUGAAGUGGAUGUGCUAACGAGACGUAACAAAUCGUACAUUAAUCUCACAUUUAGCAAGAAUGUGUCUAAAAUCGAUGUGCAACCAACUGCAGUUUACCAUACCGACCACAAGGCAAUGAUCAAUAUGGUGACCAAGUGAAUGGAAUUAAAAUGUGUUGUGUAAUUUCAACUAAUUUAACAUAAAUACCAAAAUAAUUAAAUAAAUAGUGGAAGGGGUCUGAAUUUUUUACACUUCCAGAUAAAAGAAAGGCACACAAUGCCUCAAGACUAAUAUUUCUAAGUUAUUGCAUAACUUACGGCAAACUUGACUUGUAGAGAUUGUGCACAGGAGAAAAAGCACUGAAAAUCUGCAUGUAUCUGUUUCAACGCACUCUUCCUACUUGCUAGCAAAACGGGAAGCCGUCCAGGGACUAUGAUUGUAAACAGCGAAAGGGCCUAUGAUGACGAGAGUACGCAUGAUGGCAUGCGUACUCGAGACUUUUGCGAGAUCUGGGGACUCUUGCUUGUAAUGUGUGCUUGCUUCGGUAUGACAGAGGACGGCGCGCUUUGCUCCCGUGUAUGUGCCACCUAUACUUCCGUUCAAAUGAGACAUAACGGCCGAUACAGAGCCUGUAAUGGCGAAGCGGCAGUUGUUUGUCGUCAGUGGUUGGCCUGUGUCACUGUGGAGCAUGUAGCAUAACGUUUGCCAUUUCGCCGCGAGUAUUUGGCGCUCUGCCAGUGCCACGGCCGUCGGUGACAGGAGGAGUAUGUGCCACAUGGUUGGUUGGUUGGUUGGUUAGUUUGGGUUUAAUGGCACAAAGGCAACUAAGGCCAUGCUGCGCCAGACACAAGACAAAAUGAAAUGCAACUUUAGAGUAGGUAAACCUGUAUUACAAUAUAGUUUGUGUCAAUCACCAGUUUUUUCUAAAAAGUCGAACAGGUUAGAAAAUGGCAUAGGGGGUCAUCUGCUAGUAAUAGGGCAGGGUGUAAUGGAGCGUGCAAAUUAUAUAGGCUGUGUAAAAACCUCCGUCUCAGUGUGUCGAUGUGUAGACAUGUUAUUAGGAUGUGUAUGACUGUGAGAGGUUCAAGGCAUUUUUUGCAGGUUGGCAGGUUUUCUUUUCGGAGGAGGAAGUUGUGCGUCAAAUGUGUGUGUCCAAUUCGAAGUCGACACAAGAUCACCUCGUAGAACCGUUGCUGGUGACUGCAUGAUUUCCACUCGCCGAUUACAGGUUUAAUAAGAUGUAGCUUGUUUUCUGUACAAUGGCCUCAUUCGUGUCACCACUUUGACAUUAAGGCCUUCCUAAUGGCACGGAUACUAUAUUUAUAUGGAAGUGUUGUGUUUAUUAUGUCUUCAUGCGCUGCCAUUGAUGCGCAUCUAUCCGCUGCUUCGUUACUCGGUACACCAACAUGGCUUGGUACCCAGCAAAACCUAAUUGACCUGCCGUAUUUGUUUAUUGUUAUCAUGUUUAAGAUAUCCCCUAUCAGUGGUUCACAUUCGGAUUUCAUGUGAAGAGCUAUCAGCGUGCUUACUUAACGAAUCAGUGCAUAUGAUUGUGUUUUCGUGUUUUUCAGCGAUUAUCUUUUUAACCACAGUCCAUAAUGCAUAGACUUCAGCUGUGUAGACAGAGGCAUGCUGUGGCAAACGAAUACUAUUUCCCAAUGUUCUGUUACGGCCCCUACACCCACGCGUUCUUUUGUUUUAGAGCCAUCAGUGUAAAACGAAUCAGUGCAUAUGAUUGUGUUUUCGUGUUUUUCAGUUAUUAUCUUUUUAACCACAGUCCAUAAUGCAUAGACUUCAGCUGUGUAGACAGAGGCAUGCUGUGGCAAACGAAUACUAUUUCCCAAUGUUCUGUUACGGCCCCUACACCCAAGCGUUCUUUUGUUUUAGAGCCAUCAGUGUAAAAUUCCGUGUAAUUUUGAUAUUUGUCCUGUAGAAAGCAGAAUUCUUGUAUAAUGUGUUCGUGUGGGGUGUCUUUUUUUCUUUAAAUGUGUCAAUGUCCAAUCACAUAACGGUGCGAAAUCGUGCCACGGGGCUACAUGGGCACGCUCUGCGUAUGCGCUGCCCAGCCAUGAACAAGAACUUAAGCAUAAUGUGCAAAUGACUAGGUUACAAUAAAACAAAUUC